CCAGACUCCUACGGGAGGCAGCAGUGGGGAAUAUUGGGCAAUGGGCGCAAGCCUGACCCAGCAACGCCGCGUGAAGGAAGAAGGCUUUCGGGUUAUAAACUUCUUUUCUCAGGGACGAAGAAAGCGACUGUACCUGAGGAAUAAGCCACGGCUAACUACGUGCCAGCAGCCGCGGUAAUACGUAGGUGGCAAGCGUUAUCCGGAUUUAUUGGGUGUAAAGGGCGUGUAGGCGGGAGCGCAAGUCAGAUGUGAAAACUCAGGGCUCAACCCUGAGCCUGCAUUUGAAACUGUGUUUCUUGAGUGCUGGAGAGGCAAUCGGAAUUCCGUGUGUAGCGGUGAAAUGCGUAGAUAUCCGGAGGAACUCCAGCGGCGAAGGCGGAUUGCUGGACAGUAACUGACGCUGAGGCGCGAAAGCGUGGGGAGCAAACAGGAUUAGAUACCCCCGUAUG
rnacentral:rRNA from 1 species